rnacentral:lncRNA from 1 species
UUGUUAUGUGUCCCUAGUAGCCUGGUGACAGUUAGACUUCAAUAUCCAUUUAUUCAGAAAUGCCCUAGAAACCAUGUGGCCUGCCAAGCUCUGCGCACUUCCAUAUCCCCGUGGAGCCCGUUUAACACAGGGGAUCUGAGGUGACAAUAGAGGCUUGGGGACAGACAACUCGGGUUGGCACAUGUCCCCAAAGUGAACGUUUAGUUUGGAAAUUGCCCAAGAAUAGGUUAUUACUUAGUUUCCAUGAACACACAGAUAAAUCAGAGUGUUCCUCCAAGAACAAAGAGUCUGCUUGGAAGGUUAAAACAUAUAAACCGAACUCUUAGCCAAAGUCAUUAUGACGCAUUCAUCUCAGGAAGUCCACCAGGGGGUCUCAAAGGCUAUGGCGCCUGUGGGAACCGUGUGGGGCAGUGGGGCUUGACUCGGCCUGGAAGGAUGCAUCAGGCUGAGGAGAUGGAAAAGGAAGGGCUCCUCAGGAGGAAAUCUGCAAGGUCACAUUAUGUCUUAAGCCCAGAAACUGCCGUAGGCCAGACUGGAAGGAAUCUACAGAAGAAAGGCGCCGGCUCUGGGAGUCUAAUCCCAACGUCACUGUAACGUUCAGCGAAAGUUUCCCUGCCUUCCUGAAGCUCGGUAUUGGGAAGGCCAAGGACCCACGUCAUCGCUGGCACGUCACUGUACUCAGCAAGGAAAGCUGCAGCCGUCACCAUCUCUGAGACAGUUAAAUCAUUCUCUAUCAACGUGUGGAAGGGCUGUAGUCUGUGAAA